rnacentral:lncRNA from 1 species
GUGACAGGUUUGGGGGUCAAAACCGUUUUGGACAUCUUUAUCUGAGGCGUGAUGAGCCUGGACCAUCAGCAAAACAAACCCUCAAGUCCUGAGCAUAGCAUUUGCCAGUUUCAAGCUACCACUGUGAUGUCACUGAACAAGGAACUGGGUGGAGAUGAGCAGCAGCCCCCCAUUCUAUAGCAUUUCCACAAUGUAUAUACGAUAGGC